GCAAGCCUUCUUUGUAAACAAUCAAAAAUUCUCUCAAAUAUCCAAUAAGAUAUUUACUUUUAUACUCAGAUAUGGAUGAUCAAAGCUCAGAAUUAUCAAAUCUACAAGAACAGGUAAAUUUUGGUGCGAUAUUGCACAAAUUUCGUACUUGCGACAUUACCUGAGAAAAUAUAUCGGCAGGUAUAUUAUCUCUAAGUAAAUCCGCAGGUAUGUGGACAAAUAUAUAUAUAUAUAUAUAUUUUAAAUCCAUAGGAAAAUUCCCAGGUAAUUUAUCCUAUGAAUUUAUGUUGAGAUAUUUUGGUGGAAAUUUAUCUGGAGCAUUUUAUUACCUGAGAAUUAUUUGCUGUGAAUUUACCUGGGGAUUUAUUUUUGAGAAUUUACCUACGAAAUUAUUACAUGAGAAAUUAUUGGGGGAUUGUGUUGCUAUAAAUUUAGCUGAAAAUAUUUCUUGGAAAUUUACGUAGGAUUUUUGUGACUUAAACAAUUUAAAUAGGAAAAGGAUAAACUUGAAGAAUGAAAACAUAAAAUUAAAAAAAUUAGGCAUUAAAUUGAUGGACACAUAUAAUCAAACAAAAGAUGCUCAAGGAAAUUAGUUUGUUGACAUAGAUGGUACCAUAGAUGUAUUUGAGCUAAAUAAACCUUAGCUUAGCUCGUUAUUGAGAUUGAAGAAUUAAUGGUUAUCAAAGAAAUUAAAGAGGUGAAAUUUCAUCGGCCUAAGAUAGGGAAGAAUGACUUAGGGCUCAAAUAGAGUGCUUUUCUAUUGGUUUCUACAAGUUGAUUUCAAUAUUAUUGUAAGGCAUCAUGUUAAGCAUGACAAUAUAAUAGCAAGCAAUGUACAUUUAGGAGUCAUUGGGUAUGAGAUGUAAGGUAUAAUAAUCACGACAUAAAAUAAAAAAAAUUAUUUUAUUUUUAUUGAAUUGAAAGUAUUAGGUAGUUUUGAAAUUAUAUACAUAAUUAAACAAAAAAAUGUAUGAAAAAUAUAUAAGUUGAAACAAGAAUUUUGGACAAAAACGUGAAAAGCUAUUCAUUCCCUCCUUUUUCCCCCAUUGACUGCUCAUUCUCACACUAGACUCUCCACCUUCCAAAUCUUCCAUUUUCAAUUUUCAUUUUUCUUUUCUGAAGAAUGAGACACAACUUUCAAUUCUCUAAGCAGGCAACGAGAAGACCCAGAAUCAAAGUCUCAAUUGCUUGCAGAGAUAUUCGAAAUCAGAGUGAAAGGUUCUGGUUUGUGUGUAUCUGACUUUCAUCAACUGAUGAUAUGGAUUGCUUCACUUUGAUGUGCUUGGUAGUUCGCAGUGGGAUUGUCUACGGGUUUGAUGUCAUUAUGGUUGUGGAGUUGCUUUAUGGAGUUGUUUAAAUUUAUACGAAUUUUAAUUUACCUAUGAUAUAUGAUAUUUGUUACAAAUAUUUGAUUGUGGUUCUCUAAUUUUGCAAUCUUUCGGUCCUCUUAUUCUCUUAUGGUUCAGUUUUUUCUUACUGAAUAUUUAAUCACUUAAUUUUAUUAUUGAAUAUUUUUGUGUUAACUUUUAAAGUAUUUGAAUGUUGGAAAGAGCAAUCGCUAUAUGAAGUAUUCACAGAAGCUCAUUUAUAUGAUAUUUAUUACAAAUAUUUGAUUGUGGUUCUCUAAUUUUGCAAUCUUUCGGUCCUCUUAUUCUCUUAUGGUUUAGUUUUUUCGUACUAAAUAUUUAAUCACUUAAUUUUAUUAUGGAAUAUUUUUUUGUUAACUUUUAAAGUAUUUGAAUGUUGGAAAGAUCAAUCGCUAUAUGAAGUAUUCACAGAAUCUCAUUUAAUUGCAUCAACAUGAAUGUAUCGUUGUUCUUCCUCUUUUAUACAUUUUGGCUUUUCGUUGAAUGAAACUCUGGUUGGUUGAUCAAAAUUGAUAUUAAAUGUGACGCUUCUACUUUUUAAACCUUUUUCUUUUUGUUGAAUUAUGUGAACUGUCUCAUCUAAAUGGUUAAACCAUUAAUGAAUGAUUUGUUUAUAUAUUUUUAUUAGCAGUCGCUAUAAGAGAAGCAUUAGCACUGUAGUUUAGCUUUUUCUUGUUUUCACCUUUCCUUGAAUCUUGGAACCUUUCCAGCAGUGUGGUUUUAAAGGUUUCUAAUUCUCAUCUCAAGUUUCAGAAUAUCAAUUAUUUCAAAUUGCCUGCUUUCUUUCUUCUGGUUGAUUUUUUGGUCAAAUAGUAAAGUUUUUCCAUUUAACCCAAAGUGCCAAAUUACAAACCUGUCAGUCUUUUUGGACUCAAGCUGGCUACAUAUGAUCCUAUAAGUCUAAACUUUUCAGUCUCAAAGCUGCUUACAUUAUAUCUAAACUAGCUUUAUAAGAUAAAGACAUACAAAUAGUUAUCUAGCUAGGAUACAAAUUCAUUUGUUGUAGCAUUGAUCCCAUUUAGGAUGUUGUUUCCCUACAAUAUGGAGUUGCAGUGCUAUUUCAUAAAGUCUUUGUAUGGUCUCUUUGCCUGAUUCCUGAACCGUUUAGCAUUUCUUUCAGCUUAGAUUUGAUAAACUAGUACAGCAUAGCAGAAUCUAAGCAAUUUUGCUUGAGGUCUAUUCUUACUGAUCCUCGUAGUUAGCCAUGCUACGUCAUGAUUCCAGCCUCAUAUGGUCCUAUAGCCUAGCCCUUUUAAGAGCUCUAUCCAUAUUCUUGUAGAAUAAGGACAAUUAAAGAAUAGGUGGUCAAGAUUUUCUAUUAUCUUCCCUUUCCACAACACAUAGUCUGUAGUCAUUGGUUUUUACCCACUGCAGUAUUCUAUCAAUCGUAUUUAACCUAUUAUGCAAAGCUAACCAUAAAAUGAAUUUUUGCCUGGGGAGUUGACCUUGAACUAACACUUGUCUACUCCAUUCAACUUUAGGAUACUAAGGCAUCAUUCUCAGGUAAAUUCGGUGUUUUCUUCAGUUGUGUAUAUACAAGUUGUUGUCACCUCCAGUGCUUCCAGUGAAUCUUUGCUCAUUUAUAAAGUUUUAGCAAGACUAGUACUUAAAAAUUCUACAUUUGGACUUUCACUUUCAAGUUUGAUACUAUCUGGCAAGUUGAGGUUGUUGCCACCUUUGUCAUUGUUAUUUUUGCUCUCUUGUGGCACCAUUUCCUUAACUAUAUAUGGCUUAUCUCCAUCUUUAUCCAACUUUCUGUUUGAAGCCUCAACUUUUUUGCUUAUUUAUUUUGAUUCCAUUAGAGUCUCCCUUUCUCUGAUAGUUCCAUCACUUGAAGCUGAAGAAGAUUAACUUUGGGUUCUAGAUGCAGUAACUUCUUUUGUCAUAAGCUUCCUCCUGUAUAAAAAUUCUGAAGUUGGUAUAUUGUUAUCAUCAUCUGAUGAUUUUACAACUCUCAUUUCACAAUCUGGAAUUUUGCCAUCUUCUAUAACCUCAUUAUAUUUCUGCAAAAAUUCACAAGAUUCAAAGGCGUUAAUCUUUUUGUGAGUUCUAGACAACUUUCCCUAAACUUUCUACUGUAUAAUCUAUUUCACUCCUUGGAUUCACACUUUUUGGAUUUUUCACCUUAUGCCAUCUAGCUACCCUUGGCUCCCUAAAGUAGAUGAAAGUGCUACGCUUAAACUACAAAUUGGUAAAUCUCUUCCAAGCUCAUAGCUGAACAAAAUGAAGUGGAGCGCAAAGGAUAAUAUCUGAAUCAUCUUUUAUACAUCUAGAAUUACUAAUUUUUCCAGAGUUCUUAGACAAAGCUACAAUCAACUGUUUAAGCAAGUUGAGAUCCCUAUAAAUACUUGAAAGAGCAGCAGGAGCAAGUGAAAUUAGAAUUCCUUCAGAAAUAUAAAUUGCUAUAGGGAAAAGAGUUCUAUCCACAACCUAAUAACUUCUAGCAGAAAGCACAUACCUUGACAACCAACGGGACAAAAAUGCAACAUGCUCCAAAUUGUCACCUCUUCCUACAAAAUAUUUCAUCCUGGAAUGGUAACUAACAUUCAUUUUAUGCGCUCUAAUAACUUUAUGAGCCCCACAAAGAGUUUUUCCCACUUUAACAGAAUCAAUACCCUUAACAGGAUCAUUAGAUCUGCAACACACUUCUUGUGACCAAUCUUUUUCCCUUAAAUCAAGCACGUGAAAAUAUUUUUAUUGAAGGGUGACAGUGAGACUUGAAUUUAUGACCUCUAUUUGUAAUGGUAUCAAGUUGGAUUGUAUGAAGCACCUCAUCUAAAGAUCUAAACUAGUAAAGAGGAGACACUUGUAUAUAAUUAUUUUAGUUUUGCAACACUAUACUUUUACCUAUUUCUGACUCAUAACAACCUUGCAUCAAUAUAAUUUACAUGUUUUAUGAGAUUAUUCAGCUAUUCUACUUAAUAUAUCUUAUCUUUAAAGUUAAAUAUGUUGGUCGAACAUGAUUUUCUAGAAUAACUUUGUGAUGUUUUGAUACAAAAUUAAAAUUGUUGGUCGAACAUGAGUUUGUAGAUUAGCUUUGUGAUGUUUUGAUACAGAAUUCAUCUUUUAUUUUUACAUUCUUUAGUCGAAGUAACAUGUAUAUUUUGAUUGAAUGAAAAAUUACUUCAAAUAUAUUUGUUCUUAGAAGAGUGAACUUUUAUUAAAUAGGAAAUUAUUCAGUGCCUAAAUUUUAUCGUUAUGUGUUUAAAUAUAUGUGUUAUCUUUUGGUUCAAAAAAUAAAUAUUUUCGAGCAUUGAAAAUGAAUUUACAAAUAGACUUUUUUCUAGUAAAGUGGCAUAUACAGAUGAAUUUAUAAAACACGUGGAAGUUUUCAUUAAAUUUUCUUCCAGUAAACCAAAGUACUUGUCCGAGAUAGUCAUAAGGUGUCCUUGUAAAAUUUAUAAGAGCGUGAAGCAUUUGACACCAGAUAAAGUUAAUGUGCACCUUUUCAAAAAAGGUUUCACUCUAGGAUAUUGGUAUUGUACGUCACAUGACGAGGAAGCUCCUUCAAUUACUUUUAAUAAACAAGUCCAUUCAAGUGAUUCCAGUAGUCGUCAAGGAUAUAGUUUUGACAUGCCUUCAAAUAGUCAAAGUAACAUUCUAGUGAAAGUCUCUGAACACAUAAAUAGGUAUCAAGGUAUGGUUUAUGAUGUUGAUGGUAUAGAGCUUGAUCAUCAUGUUGAACCUAUUGUAGAAGAGUCUCCAAAUAUGGGUGCUACCAAAUUUUAUGAGAUGUUGAAUUCAGCUCAAGAACCCUUAUGGCUCAGAUGUAAAUAUUCAGAGUUGUCUACAGCUGUUACAAUGAUGAUUAUAAAAUUUGAAUACAAUAUGUACCAUGGUUGUUUUAAUGCAAUGGAACAAUUAAUGAAGGAUACAAGCUACCCGAAUAAUAAGAUACCUCUUGAUUACUACCAGGCAAAGAAGUUAGUGGCGGGGCUUGGUUUAACUAGCCAAAAGAUUGAUUGUUACGUUAAUGAAUGUAUGUUGUAUUACAAGGUUGAUCAAGAGAUAAUAGAAUAUAAGUUUUUAAGGAACCUCUCUAUAAAGAACACAUAGGAAAGAAGGUUAGCAAAAAAGUUCCACACAAGACUAUGCAUUACCUGUCAUUUAUUCCUAGGAUUUAAUGACUAUACACUUUAACUCGA